GGGUGAGUAACACGUGAGUAACCUGCCUUACACAAGGGGAUAGCCGUUGGAAACGACGAAUAAUACCCUAUGAAACUAUCACUUCGCAUGAAGCGAUAGUCAAAGUGUUAGCGGUGUAAGAUGGACUUGCGUCUGAUUAGCUAGUUGGUGAGAAAAAGCCCACCAAGGCAACGAUCAGUAGCCGGCUUGAGAGAGUGUACGGCCACAUUGGGACUGAGACACGGCCCAG
rnacentral:rRNA from 1 species